rnacentral:rRNA from 1 species
AUUGAACGCUGGCGGCAGGCCUAACACAUGCAAGUCGAGCGAGCGGCGGACGGGUGAGUAAUGUCUGGGAAACUUCCUGACGGAGGGGGAUAACUACUGGAAACGGUAGCUAAUACCGCAUAUCAUCAGACGUGCCCAGAUGGGAUUAGCUAGUAGGUGGGGUAACGGCUCACCUAGGCGACGAUCCCUAGCUGGUCUGAGAGGAUGACCAGCCACACUGGAACUGGGACACGGUCCAGACUCCUACGGGGGUCAGCAGUGGGGAAUCUUCCGAAAUGGGCGAAAGCCUGACGGGGCAACGCCGCGUGGGUGAUGAAGGUCUUGGGAUUGUAAAGCACUUUAAGUUGGGAGGCGUUACCAACAGAAUAAGCACCGGCUAACUUCGUGCCAGCCGCCGCGGUAAUUC